GUAAGCUACUAAGAGCGAAUGGUGGAUGCCUUGACUGGUAAAGGCGAUGAAGGACGUACUAGACUGCGAUAAGCUACGGGGAGCUGUCAAGAAGCUUUGAUCCGUAGAUUUCCGAAUGGGGCAACCCAAUGUAUAGAGAUAUACAUUACCUAUAUAGGAGCGAACGAGGGGAAUUGAAACAUCUUAGUACCCUCAGGAAAAGAAAUCAAUAGAGAUUGCGUCAGUAGCGGCGAGCGAAAGCGCAAGAGGGCAAACCCAGUGCUUGCACUGGGGGUUGUAGGACUGCAAUGUGCAAGAGGUGAGUUUAGCAGAACAUUCUGGAAAGUAUAGCCAUAGAGGGUGAUAGUCCCGUAUGCGAAAAACAAACCUUAGCUAGCAGUAUCCUGAGUAGGGCGGGACACGAGAAAUCCUGUCUGAAGCUGGGUCGACCACGAUCCAACCCUAAAUACUAAUACCAGAUCGAUAGUGCACAAGUACCGUGAGGGAAAGGUGAAAAGAACUGAGGUGAUCAGAGUGAAAUAGAACCUGAAACCAUUUGCUUACAAUCAUUCAGAGCACUAUGUAGCAAUACAGUGUGAUGGACUGCCUUUUGCAUAAUGAGCCUGCGAGUUGUGGUGUCUGGCAAGGUUAAGCAAACGCGAAGCCGUAGCGAAAGCGAGUCUGAAUAGGGCGCUUAGUCAGAUGCUGCAGACCCGAAACGAAGUGAUCUAUCCAUGAGCAAGUUGAAGCUAGUGUAAGAACUAGUGGAGGACUGAACCCAUAGGCGUUGAAAAGCCCCGGGAUGACUUGUGGAUAGGGGUGAAAGGCCAAUCAAACUUCGUGAUAGCUGGUUCUCUCCGAAAUAUAUUUAGGUAUAGCGUUGUGUCGUAAUAUAAGGGGGUAGAGCACUGAAUGGGCUAGGGCAUACACCAAUGUACCAAACCCUAUCAAACUCCGAAUACCUUAUAUGUAAUCACAGCAGUCAGGCGGCGAGUGAUAAAAUCCGUCGUCAAGAGGGAAACAACCCAGACUACCAGCUAAGGUCCCUAAAUCUUACUUAAGUGGAAAACGAUGUGAAGUUACUUAAACAACCAGGAGGUUGGCUUAGAAGCAGCCAUCCUUUAAAGAAAGCGUAAUAGCUCACUGGUCUAGUGAUUUUGCGCGGAAAAUAUAACGGGGCUAAAGUAAGUACCGAAGCUGUAGACUUGACUUUGUCAAGUGGUAGGAGAGCGUUCUAUUUGCGUCGAAGGUAUACCGGUAAGGAGUGCUGGAGCGAAUAGAAGUGAGCAUGCAGGCAUGAGUAGCGAUAAUUAAUGUGAGAAUCAUUAACGCCGUAAACCCAAGGUUUCCUACGCGAUGCUCGUCAUCGUAGGGUUAGUCGGGUCCUAAGUCGAGUCCGAAAGGGGUAGACGAUGGCAAAUUGGUUAAUAUUCCAAUACCAACAUUAGUGUGCGAUGGAAGGACGCUUAGGGCUAAGGGGGCUAGCGGAUGGAAGUGCUAGUCUAAGGUCGUAGGUGCUUAUACAGGCAAAUCCGUAUAAGAAUACACCGAGAACUGAAAGGCUUUUUGAAGUCUUCGGAUGGAUAGAAGAACCCCUGAUGCCGUCGAGCCAAGAAAAGUUUCUAAGUUUAGCUAAUGUUGCCCGUACCGUAAACCGACACAGGUGGGUGGGAUGAGUAUUCUAAGGCGCGUGGAAGAACUCUCUUUAAGGAACUCUGCAAAAUAGCACCGUAUCUUCGGUAUAAGGUGUGGUUCGCUUCGUAUUAGGAUUUACUCCGAAAGCGAAGAAACUUACAACAAAGAGUCCCUCCCGACUGUUUACCAAAAACACAGCACUCUGCUAACUCGUAAGAGGAUGUAUAGGGUGUGACGCCUGCCCGGUGCUCGAAGGUUAAUUGAUGGGGUUAGCAUUAGCGAAGCUCUUGAUCGAAGCCCGAGUAAACGGCGGCCGUAACUAUAACGGUCCUAAGGUAGCGAAAUUCCUUGUCGGUUAAAUACCGACCUGCAUGAAUGGCGUAACGAGAUGGGAGCUGUCUCAAAGAGGGAUCCAGUGAAAUUGUAGUGGAGGUGAAAAUUCCUCCUACCCGCGGCAAGACGGAAAGACCCCGUGGACCUUUACUACAGCUUGACACUGCUACUUGGAUAAGAAUGUGCAGGAUAGGUGGGAGGCUUUGAGUAUAUGACGCCAGUUGUAUAUGAGCCAUUGUUGAGAUACCACUCUUUCUUAUUUGGGUAGCUAACCAGCUUGAGUUAUCCUCAAGUGGGACAAUGUCUGGUGGGUAGUUUGACUGGGGCGGUCGCCUCCCAAAUAAUAACGGAGGCUUACAAAGGUUGGCUCAGAACGGUUGGAAAUCGUUCGUAGAGUAUAAAGGUAUAAGCCAGCUUAACUGCAAGACAUACAAGUCAAGCAGAGACGAAAGUCGGUCUUAGUGAUCCGGUGGUUCUGUGUGGAAGGGCCAUCGCUCAAAGGAUAAAAGGUACCCCGGGGAUAACAGGCUGAUCUCCCCCAAGAGCUCACAUCGACGGGGAGGUUUGGCACCUCGAUGUCGGCUCAUCGCAUCCUGGGGCUGGAGCAGGUCCCAAGGGUAUGGCUGUUCGCCAUUUAAAGCGGUACGCGAGCUGGGUUCAGAACGUCGUGAGACAGUUCGGUCCCUAUCUGCCGUGGGCGUAAGAAGAUUGAAGAGAUUUGACCCUAGUACGAGAGGACCGGGUUGAACAAACCACUGGUGUAGCUGUUGUUCUGCCAAGAGCAUCGCAGCGUAGCUAAGUUUGGAAAGGAUAAACGCUGAAAGCAUCUAAGCGUGAAGCCAACUCUAAGAUGAAUCUUCUCUAAGCUCUCUAGAAGACUACUAGUUUGAUAGGCUGGGUGUGUAAUGGAUGAAAGUCCUUUAGCUGACCAGUACUAAUAGAGCGUUUGGCUUAUCUUU
rnacentral:rRNA from 1 species